rnacentral:lncRNA from 1 species
UUUUAUAUAAUAACCACGUCUUAAAUGAGCGUUCAACACAAACCAAAAAUAUAUUUGACCUAAAAUAUGUGAACAGUAAUAACGAACUCAAAAGCAAUCAAGUCAACUAAAAAAUGAUAAUUCAAGAUUUAAUAAUUUGAACUAAUAAUAGAACCAGUUGCCACCUCAGACGUUUGGUAGUAACAUGGCUUUUCAAUCACUGGCCAAUUUUUUUAUUUAUGACUAGAGCCAUCAUGCAUUAUGCGGUGGUCUGGCCUCUUCUUUGGAGGCAGUGGCCCUUCUGAGGGAGGUGGGUGGUCUGGCCUCUUCCUUUGAGGGAAUGAUCUGCCCCGAGGUAUUGGAGCCACUGCUUCUUGAUUCAAUGACUGAACACCACCCUGAGAGCUUUGCCAUGAGGGAGGGAAAGAAGCACGUGCAUUUUGUGCAACUUUUUUAAGAUAUUGCAGCAUCAAACGCCACUGAUGAAGAUUUUCUCGAGAACGAAGGUGAUUUCCACUGAUGUAACUAGUACCUCCAACUCCAAGACUAGCAACAGUAUGUGUCCCAAACAAAAAAUCCACCAAUUGAAUUCCUUGGAUCUGGUUAUUUAGAAACUGGGACAGGUAGCUGAUAGAUUUAUGUAUGCAUCUGUAGAUGGUCUCUACCUUGGCAGUUCCAACCGCUCUAGAAACAUUUUGGGACCGAUCCAUGAAAUCCUCAACCUGUUCAACAAAAUAUCACCAAUACAACGUAAACACCAUAUGUAUUAUUAUUAAAAAAUGAGCGGUGGAAAUGAAUUUAGUUACCCUCAUUGAGUAUAAAGCAUUAAAUAAAUUUUUUGUUAUUUUUAUUGAAUUUUCAGAUUUUUAUUUAAUUAAGGAUUUUAUGAGUUUUUAUUAUGAUUUGGUAGUUUUUAUUAAUUAAUUUUUAUAGUAUUUUAAUUGAAUUUUUAGUUUUUCAUUUAUUCUAGGUAAAUCAUAGACAAUUAGGGCAAAUAUUUUAAAAUUUUAUGAAAAAGUUUCUUAGGUUUAAAAUUACAUUUGAAAAAUCGGUUUCUAGAUUUGUUAUGGAAAUAAAUUUUUGGUGAAGAAAAAGUUUAUUUUUAGAGUAUGAAUUAAAUUUUAUGGUAAUUUUAUUUAAUUUUCGGAUUUUUAUUUAAUUCAUAAUUUUAUGAGUUUUUAUUGUGAUUUGGUGAAUUUUUUAUAGUUUUUAUUAAUUAAUUUUUAUGGUAUUUUUAUUGAAUUUUUUGGUUUUUUAUUUAAUCUAGGUUAAUUUUAGAUAAUUAGGGCAAAUACUCUAAAUUAAAAUAAAAUAUUUCCUGAAAUUAAAACUAAAUAAAUAAUGAGAUAAAUUAAAAUUAAAUCAAGAAAUAAACAACCUAAAUCAUAAUCAAAUCUAAAAUUUAAAAGGUAAUAAAUAAAAAUAGAUAAAAACUACAAAAAUCUAGAUAAUCACAAUAAAAACUCAUAAAAUCCUGAAUUAAUUAAAAAUCCGAAAAUUUAAUAAAAAUUAAUUAAUACUAUAAAAAUAAAUCAAAAAUAUAUUAAGUUAAAAUCAAGAAAUAAAAAAUCUAAAUCCUAAUCAAAUCUAAAAUUUAAAAACGUUUUUUUUAUGAGAAUUAACCUGAGAAUGACACGUGAAUUUUUUUUUAUGAAAAUUAACGUAAGAAUGACACGUCACUGAGAAUGACACGUCACUAAAUCAGUCUUAUAGGAGUUCUUCUUUUCUAAUAUAUAUUGAUAUUGAUGAUUCAUGUUUAAUUUCAUGCUAGUACUUCAUUAUUUGUAAUUAAAAAGUGAAGCUACCACAUAAAAAAAUGUCGAUGAGUCGAUGACCAUAUUUGAAACGACUGCAAACAUUGAAGAACUGUUUUAUAUAAUAACCACGUCUUAAAUGAGCGUUCAACACAAACCAAAAAUAUAUUUGACCUAAAAUAUGUGAACAGUAAUAACGAACUCAAAAGCAAUCAAGUCAACUAAAAAAUGAUAAUUCAAGAUUUAAUAAUUUGAACUAAUAAUAGAACCAGUUGCCACCUCAGACGUUUGGUAGUAACAUGGCUUUUCAAUCACUGGCCAAUUUUUUUAUUUAUGACUAGAGCCAUCAUGCAUUAUGCGGUGGUCUGGCCUCUUCUUUGGAGGCAGUGGCCCUUCUGAGGGAGGUGGGUGGUCUGGCCUCUUCCUUUGAGGGAAUGAUCUGCCCCGAGGUAUUGGAGCCACUGCUUCUUGAUUCAAUGACUGAACACCACCCCGAGAGCUUUGUGAUGAAACAAGACCACCAGAAACUAUGGGUUGUGAGGUGAAAGG